UCCCUGGUGGUUCAGAUGGUAAAGCGUCUGUCUACAAUGCAGGAGACCUGGGUUCGAUUCCUGGGUUGGGAA
rnacentral:tRNA from 1 species